AUUUUUACACAAGUAAGAAAAAGAAAUUAUCUACAACUUUUGUAUAUCACACUUCUACAGAAAACAUGGUAUACUUCAUCGAACUAGCUGCAUAGCUAAAACUUGUCAUGCAGUCACAACAGCAAGAAUUUUAAGUUAACUCCUAAUUAACUUCUACAAUUCUCAAUUUUCAUGUGCUAGGUACUUCAAAUAUUCUAGCACCUUAUCUUAAUGUAGAACUAAAGCCAUAUAGUACAAUAAGGCAUUCAUGUCACCAUACAGUAGGAAUUCGCUCAACCUCUAAUAGACCUUAUCAGCAAAGCGUUAUAAGUACUAAACAUAGAGUAUAAUGAUUUUCAGAGCAAAUCAUCGACUUCAUCAUUGGGGUUCUCAAAUUUAGCUGAAAUCAGCUUGUCGACGCUACUAGCUUAACCAUGCUAUGCAUACAUAUCUACUAAUACGUUCUUCGCGUGACUAGCAUCUCAAACCUAACUCCAGCAUCCAACUCGACUAUUCCAAAAUCAUGAAAAUAAUCACAUCGCAUUCAUCGAACCAACUUAAUAAUACUAGACGUAUGCCUCCAUCAAAACACUCCUCACAUAACUUGUACCUCUAACAUAAACUAGCACGCAUACGAAGCAUCGUGCUUCACAAUCAUGAACAUAACUAAAUUACCACUUACAAUAAAGCAUUAAAAAACAUCGUAAAAUUACAACACACACACGCUACCGAUAAGAGAACCGAUGUAAUUAAUAUAGUUAAUUAAUCCGACCAUCGAACAAAGAACAGAAUUAGCAAAUCAGCUCACUAGUACAAACCUGACUCGAAUCCGCGAAAUCGACGAUGAGUCCUAGUUAAGGCAUUACGUCAAACACACGGUGAGCUCCGCACUAAAGCCUUCUCCACAUGACAACCAGGGAUUUAUCUUCUCCAACCUCACACACACAAAAAACACACAUAACCAUAGCUAUUAAUUCGACUCGACAUCCACAAGAACUACAAUAUUCACUAGUUCACACAUUUAAUCGAGCACAAGGAAUGCAAGCCACGGCAAGAAUGGCGAGGGCUCACCGAACGAUGAGCAGCGAGGCCGACAGAUCGACGACCUGUGGUGCUACACAAAGAGUAGCGCGGGCAGAAGACAAGGCGGAGGACCAAGUGAGGGACGAGCUGCAGAGGGGAAGAUGGAGGGAGGAGGCAUCGGCUGGAGGUGGGUCGAGAUCGAGAGACGAUGACCGAGUCCGAGCACUACAGAGGAUGAGGACAUGGGAGUGUCCAGGGCGAGCACCGGCGUGUGAGACAGGGUUCCGCGUGAGCACUUACCGGCGGCGUGGACACACCAGGGAGGCGCGACUGAAGGAAGGAAGAGCAGGGGCGAGCAGGGAGAUAGGAGAAGGGCGGCCAUGGAGAGGAGCUCGACCUGGGAUGGAGUGGUGGCGUGCAGCCAUGGGAUCGGCUGGGCGAGCUAGGGCUGGGCGCCGAGCAUCUAGGAGGUGGGGAGGAGAUCCUGGGCGCCAUGAGGGAGCCGCGGGCGAGGAAGGAAGCUAGGGGGCCGAGCUCGUGAGGAAUAAAGGGAGCAGAGGUGAGGGAAGCCUGCACAAGCGCAGAG
rnacentral:lncRNA from 1 species